CGGGACACGUGGUAUCCUGUCUGAAUAUGGGGGGACCAUCCUCCAAGGCUAAAUACUCCUGACUGACCGAUAGUGAACCAGUACCGUGAGGGAAAGGCGAAAAGAACCCCGGCGAGGGGAGUGAAAAAGAACCUGAAACCGUGUACGUACAAGCAGUGGGAGCCUCUUAAUGGGGUGACUGCGUACCUUUUGUAUAAUGGGUCAGCGACUUAUAUUCUGUAGCAAGGUUAACCGAAUAGGGGAGCCGAAGGGAAACCGAGUCUUAACUGGGCGUUAAGUUGCAGGGUAUAGACCCGAAACCCGGUGAUCUAGCCAUGGGCAGGUUGAAGGUUGGGUAACACUAACUGGAGGACCGAACCGACUAAUGUUGAAAAAUUAGCGGAUGACUUGUGGCUGGGGGUGAAAGGCCAAUCAAACCGGGAGAUAGCUGGUUCUCCCCGAAAGCUAUUUAGGUAGCGCCUCGUGAAUUCAUCUCCGGGGGUAGAGCACUGUUUCGGCAAGGGGGUCAUCCCGACUUACCAACCCGAUGCAAACUGCGAAUACCGGAGAAUGUUAUCACGGGAGACACACGGCGGGUGCUAACGUCCGUCGUGAAGAGGGAAACAACCCAGACCGCCAGCUAAGGUCCCAAAGUCAUGGUUAAGUGGGAAACGAUGUGGGAAGGCCCAGACAGCCAGGAUGUUGGCUUAGAAGCAGCCAUCAUUUAAAGAAAGCGUAAUAGCUCACUGGUCGAGUCGGCCUGCGCGGAAGAUGUAACGGGGCUAAACCAUGCACCGAAGCUGCGGCAGCGACGCUUAUGCGUUGUUGGGUAGGGGAGCGUUCUGUAAGCCUGUGAAGGUGUGCUGUGAGGCAUGCUGGAGGUAUCAGAAGUGCGAAUGCUGACAUAAGUAACGAUAAAGCGGGUGAAAAGCCCGCUCGCCGGAAGACCAAGGGUUCCUGUCCAACGUUAAUCGGGGCAGGGUGAGUCGACCCCUAAGGCGAGGCCGAAAGGCGUAGUCGAUGGGAAACAGGUUAAUAUUCCUGUACUUGGUGUUACUGCGAAGGGGGGACGGAGAAGGCUAUGUUGGCCGGGCGACGGUUGUCCCGGUUUAAGCGUGUAGGCUGGUUUUCCAGGCAAAUCCGGAAAACCAAGGCUGAGGCGUGAUGACGAGGCACUACGGUGCUGAAGCGACAAAUGCCCUGCUUCCAGGAAAAGCCUCUAAGCAUCAGGUAACAUCAAAUCGUACCCCAAACCGACACAGGUGGUCAGGUAGAGAAUACCAAGGCGCUUGAGAGAACUCGGGUGAAGGAACUAGGCAAAAUGGUGCCGUAACUUCGGGAGAAGGCACGCUGAUAUGUAGGUGAAGCGACUUGCUCGUGGAGCUGAAAUCAGUCGAAGAUACCAGCUGGCUGCAACUGUUUAUUAAAAACACAGCACUGUGCAAACACGAAAGUGGACGUAUACGGUGUGACGCCUGCCCGGUGCCGGAAGGUUAAUUGAUGGGGUUAGCGGCAACGCGAAGCUCUUGAUCGAAGCCCCGGUAAACGGCGGCCGUAACUAUAACGGUCCUAAGGUAGCGAAAUUCCUUGUCGGGUAAGUUCCGACCUGCACGAAUGGCGUAAUGAUGGCCAGGCUGUCUCCACCCGAGACUCAGUGAAAUUGAACUCGCUGUGAAGAUGCAGUGUACCCGCGGCAAGACGGAAAGACCCCGUGAACCUUUACUAUAGCUUGACACUGAACAUUGAGCCUUGAUGUGUAGGAUAGGUGGGAGGCUUUGAAGUGUGGACGCCAGUCUGCAUGGAGCCGACCUUGAAAUACCACCCUUUAAUGUUUGAUGUUCUAACGUUGGCCCCUAAUCGGGGUUGCGGACAGUGUCUGGUGGGUAGUUUGACUGGGGCGGUCUCCUCCUAAAGAGUAACGGAGGAGCACGAAGGUUGGCUAAUCCUGGUCGGACAUCAGGAGGUUAGUGCAAUGGCAUAAGCCAGCUUGACUGCGAGCGUGACGGCGCGAGCAGGUGCGAAAGCAGGUCAUAGUGAUCCGGUGGUUCUGAAUGGAAGGGCCAUCGCUCAACGGAUAAAAGGUACUCCGGGGAUAACAGGCUGAUACCGCCCAAGAGUUCAUAUCGACGGCGGUGUUUGGCACCUCGAUGUCGGCUCAUCACAUCCUGGGGCUGAAGUAGGUCCCAAGGGUAUGGCUGUUCGCCAUUUAAAGUGGUACGCGAGCUGGGUUUAGAACGUCGUGAGACAGUUCGGUCCCUAUCUGCCGUGGGCGCUGGAGAACUGAGGGGGGCUGCUCCUAGUACGAGAGGACCGGAGUGGACGCAUCACUGGUGUUCGGGUUGUCAUGCCAAUGGCACUGCCCGGUAGCUAAAUGCGGAAGAGAUAAGUGCUGAAAGCAUCUAAGCACGAAACUUGCCCCGAGAUGAGUUCUCCCUGAGACUUAGAGUCUCCUGAAGGAACGUUGAAGACGACGACGUUGAUAGGCCGGGUGUGUAAGCGCAGCGAUGCGUUGAGCUAACCGGUACUAAUGAACCGUGAGGCUUAACCUUACAACGCCGAAG
rnacentral:rRNA from 1 species